rnacentral:tRNA from 1 species
GAUUAAAUGGCUGAAGUGUAAGCAGUAGAUUGUAAAUCUAUAUAUGAAGAAUAUCUUCUUUAAUCA